AGUGAACGCUGGCGGUAGGCCUAACACAUGCAAGUCGAACGGCAGCACAGUAAGAGCUUGCUCUUACGGGUGGCGCGUGGCGGACGGGUGAGGAAUACAUCGGAAUCUACUUUUUCGUGGGGGAUAACGUAGGGAAACUUACGCUAAUACCGCAUACGACCUACGGGUGAAAGCAGGGGAUCUUCGGACCUUGCGCGAUUGAAUGAGCCGAUGUCGGAUUAGCUAGUUGGCGGGGUAAAGGCCCACCAAGGCGACGAUCCGUAGCUGGUCUGAGAGGAUGAUCAGCCACACUGGAACUGAGACACGGUCCAGACUCCUACGGGAGGCAGCAGUGGGGAAUAUUGGACAAUGGGCGCAAGCCUGAUCCAGCCAUACCGCGUGGGUGAAGAAGGCCUUCGGGCUGUAAAGCCCUUUUGUUGGGAAAGAAAAGCAGCAGGUUAAUACCCCGCUGUUCUGACGGUACCCAAAGAAUAAGCACCGGCUAACUUCGUG
rnacentral:rRNA from 1 species